GUCCCCGUAGCCUAGUGGUUAGCGCAUUCACCUCGUAAGCGAGAGGACCUGGGUUCGAUUCCCAGCCGGGGCG